ensembl:lncRNA
ACUCCCACGCUGCUUUUAAGCGCGUCGGCUGUAUUUACUACGGGAGGGCGCGACGGUGCUGCUGCCAAACAGGAAGAGGUUCAUCAACGGACCCCAGGACUUUAACCCGGAAAACAAACCUUGGGACCCCGGUGGUUGGCGAUAACGCUGAGAAUUCCAGAAGUCAAAAAGUAUGGGGUGCCGUCACUGGGGUGAACACAAGACUGGAGGAGGAUCUGAGGUAAGACAACCCCCCCCUCUUCCUCCCCCGUCUCCCCCCGCUACACGAGCUGCUGAUUUACGUGAAAACCUGUCCUCCUUAUUCUGUGUGUUUGAGCUUGCUGGAUAUCAAGUGAAAGUGGCCUACGUGACAGAUACUGGGAACGACUCACCGCGCUCGGACGCAAGAUAUAUAGCGUGGCGCUCGGCUAUGUUUUGGAAAUGCCUCCAAAGACAGUAUAGAUUGUGGUAGUGACACCCCCUGCAGUUGUGCUGACGUUGACAUUUGUUGCACAACCACAUGUUUGAGCAGGUACUUGUCACAUUGGUCCGGGUGACCCGGUUUGUGGCUCUUCUGGAGACCCGCUGCAGGUGUGCAAAUCAGGAAUCAGGAAUCAGGAAACAUUUAUUAGCCAAAAUAUGUCAAACAUACAGGGAAUUUGUCUUGGCGGUUAGUGCGCGACAGUAGACAGACAAGACAACAGUGCACAGGUAAUAAAAUAAAGUGGAAUGAAAUGCUAAUGCAAUGGGUUAGUAAGAAUAAGGCUAAGGCUAUGGGUUAGUAUAAAACAGGGGAAUAAAGUUAAACAAAUUUUAAAUAUUAAAAAGUUGAAAAAUAUUAAGCAUAAAGUGCAUUAACAAACAAGUAACAGACAAGAGACAAAGUGACAAGUGACAAAGUGAUGAAUUGCAGUUAAAGUGACAUGUGCAGUAUGAAGGGGAGUGACCGGUGGAGUGUUAUAGUCAGGAAGUGGGGGACCGGCUCUGUUGAUGAGCCCGACUGCCGACGGGAAGAAACUGUUCGUGUGGCGGGAGGUCGUAGUCCUGAUGGACCUCAGCCUCCUGCCAGAUGGAAGGGUCACAAACAGUUUAUGUCCGGGGUGGGAGGGGUCGGCCGCGAUCUUUUUAGCUCGCUUCAGAGACCUGGAAGCGAACAAGUCCUCCAGGGACGGCAGAUUGCAGCCGAUCACCCUGGUAAUGAGUCAGGUUAUGGUCGGUGAGGGAAAGGUCAGCAGAGGAUCUGUCAUCAUAAUACGAUACCACUGCUGUGUCUUUCUCUGCCACUGAAACCCCACACACAUUCCUGUAAAUGUAAAAGCGUUGAGCGGUGGUUUCUCUGCUUCUGCCAUGCGGCACACAAUGACCCGAAUUUCUUUUUAUAUUGCUAAUCAAUUUGUGAAAAGCUGAGUGAGAGUGUGUUUUGUUUAUUUCAUAUUCUGACCCUGAUUAUCUCGUCCUCUAAUUAUUCAACAGUUUUUUACUUCCUGAAGAUAAGAAGCGCUUGUGUAAAACGACAAUUUUUAAUUCGAACUGGCGACAAAUUACGGAAAUCCACAAAAGCACACGAAUACAGAAAACAUGCGAAAAACAAACCAUUAACGUCUCCCAGCCUGGUGGAAAUCCCUUUACACCUUCUCGAUCCUAAUUGGCUCUCUGGAAAACGCACGGCGUGUAGUCCAGCGUGACGCAGGCGUUCCCGGGUCAAGGGCUGCUCUCGGGGGUGACUCGACACUUUUGACAUGUGGUCGGCUUCUUAGCAGCGAAACACUUGGGUUUUCAGAGGUCGCCCGUUAGGAUAAGCGUGCGCAGCUGCUCGGCUGCGACUCGUGCGCACGCGCAUUUCCAACAAAAGAGGUGACAUGUUGUUAUCGGGAUCAAACACCAGCCUCUUAGAGCGCACUGUGCACCUGCAGCGCUGACGAAGCUAAUUGGUGGACUGUGGGCAGUCGCCCUCCCGGCUGCCCCCUCCUCACGCCAAGGAAACGUCUUUUCUCCCCACUCGCUCUGCAGCGGCGGGCGAGACGCCGCCGAGCGCGCUGACUCCGUCUCUCCCCGGGCCGCCACUUUCUACCGCACGACAGACUGCUCAGCAAAAUCUGCUCCAUUGGAGUGGAUCAGCUCCAGCUAAGACACCCUUUCACACUUCCUCCCUCCCUUUCUCCAAACCCUCUCCCUCCUAUGUGACCGCAGUGCUUUCCUUCCUUCCUUCCUUCCUUCCUUCCUCCUGACACAGAGGUCUGGGGGAGUCGCAAAGGGAGUCAGGAUUUCCGGAUGUGCGCCGAUCCGAGACACAGACGGACUGACGGGGAACAGACUGGAGGAUGCUGCUGCUACCGUGGACUUUGGGGCUUCCCAUCCUAGAGCUACAAGGAGAAUGACUGAAUCAUUCCAGUUUCGAUAUGACAACAGGAAGGUGAAAAGAGCUUACAGUGAGUGCCAGCUGGGCUCUGCUGCUGCUGCUGUUGUACAGUGCACGCUACUUCAGAGAAGUCAACCUCACUGCACUCCAUCCGCCCCAUUGAGCCGCCAGCGCUGGCAAUCAAUUCUGAGCCUUGUGCUGUCGCUGAUGGCCUCUGGACACGGCAGCUGGGUGCAGGAAGACAAGCGCUCUUCCACGGGAGUCUGUCCCCCGAUCAGCUGCAGCCAGCUGUCCGGCAACAGCGCGCCGCCAUUCAGAGCGGCAGCCGCCGCCGCUGCUGCCGCUGUUGCCGCUGCUGCCGGUGGAGCGAGACCUCCUUUACUGCCGUCACCGCCGCUGCCAAGUCCCCUUUCAACGUACUUUUUUUUUUUUUUUACCCCCUUCUUCCUUCCAAAGUUUUCAACCGUACGGACUCGCGACCCUUGAGCCUCGCGACAGGCCUCGUAUGUCUGUCUGGGCCGUCUCCCAGUCGCUUUCUUCACCCCGAGUCAAAUUGUCCAUCUGUCUCCGCUUUUACCAACUUUUUCCUCCGCUAAUUUCCACCUCGCUUUCUCUCUCGCCCAGUCUUCCCUCCCGUACCCAUCCCUCUUUUUCCUUCUUUGUUGGUUACCAUGUCUCAGUUUCUCCGCUCCUUUCUCUCCCCUUUUUUUUUUCGUUUGCCACUCGCUCUUAUUUCCGCACAAAUUCCAUCUCAUUCUUUGUCGCAAUCCAACCCCCCCCCCCCCCCCCCCCCCCCCCCACAAAAUGUCACAAUACUGUAUCUUUUCUUCCCCCUUUUCUUUCGAGUAACUUCUUCUUCUGUCCCCCUUUUUCUCAUUUUUCUCUUUUUACAG